rnacentral:RNase_P_RNA from 2 species
AAAGCAGACCGGAUAGUCGCGGGGAUUUCGUAUCCUCGAGGAAAGUCCGAGCUCCACAGGGCAGGGUGCUGGGUAACGCCCAGUGAGGGUAACCUUAAGGAAAGUGCCACAGAGAACAGACCGCCUCCAUUGGAGGUAAGGGUGAAACGGUGCGGUAAGAGCGCACCAGCGAGCCAGGUGACUGGCCGGCUAGGUAAACCCCACCUGGAGCAAGACCAAAUAGGGGAGAGUUGACGUUGCCCGCCGAUCUCCCGGGUUAGGUCGCUAGAGGUGUCAGGUAACUGGCAUCCCAGAGAGAUGACUAUCGCCCCGCAAGGGGAACAGAACUCGGCUUACAGGUCUGCUUUGUAG